UUGGUGGAAAGAAUUUUUCAUUUCCUUCGUCAUGAAAUAGGGUUCUCCCAAAUUUAGUUCCUCCCUACCUCCCUCCUCCUACAGAAAACGAAAUCCAAACUCUUUCGGUUUCAUUAAAUCGCGGGACAAUAAACUCCUCAUCUCAGCCAAUAAAACAGCCAUUCCAGGGUUUCGCUAUUGUUCUUCAUUGAUUCAUUAGGGUUUUGCAUUCCCGAUUUUCCAAGGUGUAAUUGAUGCAUUGAUCAGUGCUGGAAAACAGAUUGAUGCUGUCCAUUUUGUUCAAGCAUUCAAGCUCACUGAGAACUAUCCACCGGUUCCUCUUUUGAAGACCUACUUGAAAGAUCUGAGGAGAAACUCGCAAGGAAGGAUUACCGCUGCAGGAGGAGCUGUUGGUGUCCAGUUGCAGAACGAAUCGAAUUCUCAAGAGCUUGCUGCACUAAAGGCUGUGAUAAAGUGUGUUGAAGAUUACAAGCUUGAAGCAGCGUAUCCACUUGACCCCCCUUCAAAGGCGCAAGGUGCAACUGGAAAAAUCAAAAGCGGAUAAGAAGAGGUUGGGCGAAGGAGUUAAGCAACAGUACCCUAAGAGAGCUCGAGCAAAUGGAGGUGGUGGACAUUAUGCGCCAAGAACGCCAAUUUCUGGUAGGGAUCUGCAACAAACUGCAUCAGUUUAUGGAGAUAGGGGUGAAUCAUAUACGGGAGCUUCAGUAGAAAGGUAUCAUCCGCAACAUGGCCGCAUAUUAUUAUUCCCUGGAUGAGAGAGCAACCAUUACAUAUAAUGCCACUCCGAUUCCUGCUAAUACACCACUGCACCAAUUAAUAAUUACGGAGCAGGCUAUAUUGACAGUGGAAUUCAACCUUCCCAUCAAUCUUAUAUGUGAUACAUGGUAUCUUAGCAUUCACAAGAAGUCAGAUUUUGUUAACACAGAGAUAAUUUUUAAAAGAAAUAGGCACCCCAUUUUGUGUUGCUUUUGUCUCACAACUUCUCAGUUCAUUGUUAAUAGAUAGUACUUCUACUAUUCUGCUGUUCUCGACUGCUUCUGUUGAUUAAUUUCAGUGGUUUAUUUUGUUUUUC